rnacentral:rRNA from 1 species
UUGACCUCGGAUCUGGUAGGACUACCCGCUGAACUUAAGCAUAUCAAUAAGCGGAGGAAAAGAAACCAACAGGGAUUGCCCCAGUAACGGCGAGUGAAGCGGCAACAGCUCAAAUUUGAAAUCUGGCCUUCGGGUCCGAGUUGUAAUUUGGAGAGGAUGCUCCUGGCGCGGCGCCGUCCGAGUUCCUUGGAACAGGACGCCAUAGAGGGUGAGAGCCCCGUACGGGCGGACGCCUAGCCUCUGUGAAGCUCCUUCGACGAGUCGAGUAGUUUGGGAAUGCUGCUUAAAAUGGGAGGUAAAUUUCUUCUAAAGCUAAAUACCGGCCAGAGACCGAUAGCGCACAAGUAGAGUGAUCGAAAGAUGAAAAGCACUUUGAAAAGAGGGUUAAAAAGUACGUGAAAUUGUUGAAAGGGAAGCGCCUGUGACCAGACUUGCUGCCCACGGAUCAUCCGGCGUUCCUCGCCGGUGCACUCCGCGGGCGGCAGGCCAGCAUCGGUUCUCCUAGGGGGUUAAAGGUCGCGGGAACGUGGCUCCUUCGGGAGUGUUAUAGCCCGCGGCGUCAUGCCUCUGGGGGGACCGAGGACCGCGCUUCGGCAAGGAUGCUGGCGUAAUGGUCACCGGCGACCCGUCUUGAAACACGG